rnacentral:rRNA from 1 species
AUUGAACGCUGGCGGCAGGCCUAACACAUGCAAGUCGAGCGAGUGGCGGACGGGUGAGUAAUGUAUGGGAACCUGCCCGAUAGCGGGGGAUAACUACUGGAAACGGUGGCUAAUACCGCAUACUAUCGGAUGAGCCCAUAUGGGAUUAGCUAGUGGGUGGGUGAAAGGCCUACCUAGGCGACGAUCCCUAGCUGGUCUGAGAGGAUGACCAACCACACUGGGACUGAGACAAGGCCCAGGAUCCUACGGGAGGCAGCAGUGGGGAAUAUUGCGCAAUGGGCGGAAGCCUGAUGCCGCCCUGCCGCGUUGAUGAAGAAGGGCUUAGGGUUGUAAAAUUCUUUUAGCAGGGAGGCGUUACCCGCAGAAGAAGCACCGGCUAACUACGUGCCAGCAGCCGCGGUAAUUC